ACACAAUUCUAAGAGGAGAUGUUGGCAGAGCUGGCGUCUUCUAAGCCCUCUGUCCUUGGCAGAUCGAUAUCUUCUUCCAGCAUUCCCCUGGAAGACUAACUGACCUAACACAGCUCCGGCUGGAGCUACAUGACGUCUGAAGGCAUGUCAUUCAUAUGGCCAACUCAUCUGCUCCAGAUUCUGUAGCAUGCCCAAGGUGAAACAAACUAGAUAAAACCUGUACUCCGGACAAUGGAAGCUCCCUCAUCUUGCGCCACACAAAAUAGCCACUCCCCACCGUCUGGUGAUGUCUGGAAUCUGUGUGAAGUCUCACAAGAGAUAGGAAAUCUAAUCUAGGAAGGAAUUACAGGCACCUGCCACAGAACAACUCAGGGGUAAGAAUGUGCUUCCGGCACGGUUUGGUCAAGAAGCUCACAGCUGUGGAGCACUGCCUGGGCUUCUCGUCCAUUCCUUCCUCUCUCCCCUCCUCACAGUGUUGGCUGGGUGUGCCCACUUGGAGCUGCGAUGGCUGCUGAGUCCCAACACUCCACUUCUUCACCACCCUGGAGGAGCCUGAAGCAGCUUUGGAGCUCUGAGGUAGACAAGCACACCUUCUCAGAGGUGCUUGGACAUCCUAUGCAGGAAGCUCUGAGGAGUCUUCCAGCCCGAGGCUACUGUCUACCUUUCCUCCAAGAUUGAAACAUUUCAUCUUGCAGAGAAGGGGCUUACGCGAAUGGUCAACUCAGAAUGGCUUCAGGAAGUCCACGACCCUAACCAGGUUCUUGUAGCUCCUUCUUGCCAAGUCAAGCUGCUGAGAGCCCCUCUCAGACAGGACAAGCCGAAAAGAAGACCAGACCAGCUGCCUGGAAGGAGCAGACACCCGCUGACCGGCCUGGAAGAGGUUUAGCCCAACUGAGUCACCUGAAGAGAGUACUCAUCAUCCUGCUGAGCUGCCUGUCAGCCAUGCAGUCCUUCCAGAUUCCCAGCUCUGUGAGCUGUCACCCAGGCUGCGGUGGGCUUCGGUGAGGCAGCUGUCUUUGAGUCACUUCUGUUCCUGGCCUCAAGGAUCCAAUAUCGCUGAACUGGCAAGAAUGGUGGCCCUGUGGAGGACCCAGUCCUGACGCUGGCACUUCAGGAGCCUUAUUUGGUCAUGGAUGGUCCUGACUACCCAACUUCUCAAGCAUCCAAUGUCCUCAGAGAAAGGGAGACCAGAGGCUGAAACCUGCUUGCUCAGGGGUGGAGCUUCCCGAUCAAUCGUUCUGCCACGCCCACUGCUGGAACCUGCUGCUUUGCUGCUUGGAGCCAUACUCGUGGUCACCCUGCUACUGGACUCUGAGAUUAUUUGGUGGGAAUCGGGCCCCUUCCCCUGCUUCAUAACUGCGUGCAGAACAGUAAAUUUGAGCUUUGAUCA
rnacentral:lncRNA from 1 species